AACGAACGCUGGCGGCAGGCUUAACACAUGCAAGUCGAACGCACCUUCGGGUGAGUGGCAGACGGGUGAGUAACGCGUGGGAACCUACCUUUCGGUACGGAAUAGCAUCGGGAAACCGGUAUUAAUACCGUAUACGCCCUUCGGGGGAAAGAUUCAUCGCCGAUAGAUGGGCCCGCGUAGGAUUAGCUAGUUGGUGGGGUAAUGGCCUACCAAGGCGACGAUCCUUAGCUGGUUUGAGAGGAUGAUCAGCCACACUGGGACUGAGACACGGCCCAGACUCCUACGGGAGGCAGCAGUGGGGAAUCUUGGACAAUGGGCGCAAGCCUGAUCCAGCCAUGCCGCGUGAGUGACGAAGGCCUUAGGGUUGUAAAACUCUUUCGGCGGGGACGAU
rnacentral:rRNA from 1 species